rnacentral:rRNA from 1 species
GCUCGAGUGGCGAACGGGUGAGUAACACGUGAGUAACCUGCCCUUGACUUUGGGAUAACUUCAGGAAACUGGGGCUAAUACCGGAUAGGAGCUCCUGCUGCAUGGUGGGGGUUGGAAAGUUUCGGCGGUUGGGGAUGGACUCGCGGCUUAUCAGCUUGUUGGUGGGGUAGUGGCUUACCAAGGCUUUGACGGGUAGCCGGCAUGAGAGGGUGACCGGCCACAUUGGGACUGAGAUACGGCCCAG